rnacentral:lncRNA from 1 species
AAGUUCUGCAAUUUGUUCAUUUAUUACGAACAAUUUGUUCCCGGAGAUCCAUUUGGCAAGCACAAGCUGAGCAUGAUGUGGCAGAGAACAUCAAUUACACAUAAAAUCAAGUGUACCUGAUUUGGCCCAGCCAGAACGUUCAGUGUCCUUAGCAACACAAUAAAGAGCAAAUGUGACAUGUCCAGAUCCACAAGUUUGUACCUUAACUACUUAGAAAAGCAUUAGGAUAUGAUAUCCACAUAACACAAAUAUCACAAAAAAGUUCACAUAAAAAGAAUAGUCAGUUGUCUGCAUUAAACUAGUACUGGUGUGUUACCUAUGAUCAGGAAAUACCAAUACCAAGUUAACAUAAAUGAUUAUAUUCGUCAGGGCAUCAAUCACUCCUGUCAUAUAAACAUGUACCAUCUCAAGGAAAAAAUUUAAGAGAUGUGGUUAAUAACUUGGAUAAAACACACCAUAUCUAGUAUACUAGCACAGAACUGAUAUCAAUAUUUCUACGUUCCACAUCUAUAAAACACACCAUAGCACAGCCUACACGGUUUGCACCUCUGAACACAUCCCCGUAUAUGGAAAAACAGACAUUGGGAACAUAAGCAAAGCAUUACAAAAAGAACCCAAUUCGAAAGAACAUAAGCAACCAUCAGAAGAACCAUAACGAAUCACCCCAUCUCUGCGUAUAAGAUGGGGUUUUUCAAGAACAUAAGAACAACCGUAACGACCAGUGAGCCAAACCAGAGUAUCACACGGGCGCAUGCGUUUGAGGUCUGGAAAUCGCCGACGAACAACGCAGCGACGGAAACAAUCUAAAACUAACCUUGCUUUGGCCUCUCCCUACCUCUGUAAUCCUUCAAACCAGAACGGCGAACACGAAACGUAGGAACACGAAUCGUAAUCAUUCAUCGCUCCGCCGCAAACACGAAACGCAGGAACACAAAACGUAACCGUUCAUCGCUCCGCCGCAAACACGAAACACAGGAUCGUGAGUGUCUCUCAGAUAACAGAAGCGCACGCAGAAGUUCAAUGAUCUAACAAACUCAGAAUCAAUUAAUUACUCAAUGAUCCAACAAACAUUACAACAGAAUUUUACGCAAUGGGAUGUUAGAAGCUCAAUGAUCGCACUAUAAAUUAAUUGUCACAAAGUCUAGGCAAAUGAAGAAAAGCAUUAUUCCAGUACCUGGACAUGAGUAAUACGAAAAAGAAGAAUAUACUAUCAACAUAAGACAUAACAAAACACGCAUAUCACUAAAAAUUUAAGAAAAAAGAAGUUAGCUGUCUACACUAAACAAAUACUAGGUCAUUAAUCACAAUACCGAGUUGAUGCCACAAGAUUUAACAGGACAAACAAUAAUUUUUCAGGCACACUAACUGGGGAUUAACAAAUGUCACAACAUAAGUUGUGCUAGUCAACUGGAUAUAAGAAAACAAGAAAACAAGCAACACAUGUCCACGUUAGAGGUUCGUUGAAAUUGUUGUCCGAAGGAAAGGGACAUGACAGAAGUUAGUAGCAUUGAUAAAAGAACAUGUGGUGAACGUGCUUCCAUCCCAUGGAUAAAUAAAUUUUGGAGUUAUGCUCACAACAGAAAUAUAUGCCCAGGUGUGCAAUGAAAAAGUUCUGGAGUUAUGCUAUGCAAUCUAGAAGGAAGUCUAAGGAGAACUAACUAGCAGCACCUCAUCUAGUACUCCUAUGAUGAGCAGUUACAUGGAAAUAGCAACAUCAGAAAGAAAAGAAGGAACCUUGUCCAACAGGUGUUCAAUUAGUCAAGCAGGCCACAUGGUUUGCACUCUUGUAAUUCGUAAAAGUUUUCAACUCGGAACACAUAAGCAAAGCAUGGUAAAAAGAAACAAAUUGGAAAUAACAUAAACAGUAUACACCGUCAGAACAAGCAUAAACAGUAUAUACCAUCAGAACAAGCGUCUCUGCACCUAGGAUGACUGCACACAUGCCUAGUCGGGUUACAGCAAGCAAUCAAGAAUUAACGGACCCUGGAACUCAAGAACUGACAGAGGGCCAACAAGAACUGACAGAGGGCCAACAAGAACUGACAGAGUAUCACAAGAGAGCAUGCGUUUGAGUUCUGAAAAUCACCAAGAGCAACGCAGGUGACGGAACCAAUCUCAACUAGCACGAUAAACUAAUCCAAUUUCGAAACCAGGCCCGUUCGUUCCUGCAACUGACGCGAACACGAAAGCGCACGCAGAAAGAAUUGCUAGUUCGCAAACGAGAUGGAGAACCCCGGCGAGAGGAGACGACCAAAGAACAUGCGAGCGAGCGAGCGCACGCAUCGGGACAACGGCGAGGACGAGCAAAAUUGAAUCGGAUGCGACUCUACACGGACGACGGCGAGGACGAGCGAAAUCGAAUCGGACGCGACUCUGCACAGACGAGGGCGAGGGACGAGCGAAAUCAAACCAGGCGCGGCCCCAAACAGGCGACCGCGAGGACGAGAAAAACCAAACCACGCGCGACCUGUGAACCAAAGAACCGAGCACGAGCAAAAUCAAAUCGGGCGCUCGCUCUAAGCCUAAGCGGACGGACGACGAACCGAGGAGGAGUGAACCCAAACCAGACGCGAGGAGGUGACCUGGGGCCCCGGACGAAGAGAGGAGGAGCCACGGCCAGAGCGCGG